rnacentral:rRNA from 1 species
CUACGGGGCGCUCCAGUGGGGAAUAUUGCACAAUGGGCGCAAGCCUGAUGCAGCAACGCCGCGUGAGGGAUGAAGGCCUUCGGGUUGUAAACCUCUUUUAGCAGGGAAGAAGCGAAAGUGACGGUACCUGCAGAAAAAGCACCGGCUAACUACGUGCCAGCAGCCGCGGGAAUACGUAGGGUGCAAGCGUUGUCCGGAAUUAUUGGGCGUAAAGAGCUCGUAGGCGGUUUGCCACGUCUGCUGUGAAAAUCCAAGGCUCAACCUUGGACUUGCAGUGGGUACGGGCAGGCUAGAGUGCGGUAGGGGAGAUGGGAAUUCCUGGUGUAGCGGUGGAAUGCGCAGAUAUCAGGAGGAACACCAAUGGCGAAGGCACAUCUCUGGGCCGUAACUGACGCUGAGGAGCGAAAGCGUGGGGAGCGAACAGGAUUAGAUACCCGUGUAGUC